GAUGAACGCUGACAGAAUGCUUAACACAUGCAAGUCAACUUGAAUUUGGGUUUUUAACUUAGGUUUGGGUGGCGGACGGGUGAGUAACGCGUAAAGAACUUGCCUCCCAGCUAGGGACAACAUUUGGAAACGAAUGCUAAUACCUAAUAUUAUGAUAAUAGGGCAUCCUAUAAUUAUGAAAGCUAUAAGCGCUGUGAGAGAGCUUUGCGUCCCAUUAGCUAGUUGGAGAGGUAACGGCUCACCAAGGCGAUGAUGGGUAGCCGGCCUGAGAGGGUGAUCGGCCACAAGGGGACUGAGACACGGCCCUUACUCCAACGGGAGGCAGCAGUGGGGAAUAUGGGACAAUGGACCGAGAGUCUGAUCCAGCAACUCUGUGUGCACGAUGAAGUUUUUCGGAAUGUAAAGUGCUUUCAGUUGGGAAGAAACAAAUGACGGUACCAACAGAAGAAGUGACGGCUAAAUACGUG
rnacentral:rRNA from 1 species